rnacentral:rRNA from 1 species
CAGUCGCCGCGGUAAUACAGAGGGUGCGAGCGUUAAUCGGAUUUACUGGGCGUAAAGCGUGCGUAGGCGGCUUUUUAAGUCGGAUGUGAAAUCCCUGAGCUUAACUUAGGAAUUGCAUUCGAUACUGGGAAGCUAGAGUAUGGGAGAGGAUGGUAGAAUUCCAUGUGUAGCGGUGAAAUGCGUAGAGAUCUGGAGGAAUACCGAUGGCGAAGGCAGCCAUCUGGCCUAAUACUGACGCUGAGGUACGAAAGCAUGGGGAGCAAACAGGAUUAGAUACCCCCGUAGUCCCUGUCUCUUAUAC